AUCUAAUCUUAUUUGGUAUAAUCUUAUUUGAUCUUGCUGGCUUUAGAUGGAGCCUCUCACCCUCUUGAUAAAUGCUGUCAAGUUUCUGAUUUAGUUCAUGUAUAUGACUUGCAAUUAUGUAGUCAAUGCCAAAAUCUCUGCAGCACUUGAAAAUUGAUGAAGGAUUGCAUUCCUAUACAGAAAGGAAAAGAUUUAAUUCCGGACCGGAACUGCCAAAUUAAUAUGAAAUGUGCGGAUGAAUUCAAGAAAUGUAGCUCUAAAAAAUUUACUCAUUUAGCCGUAAAUCAGCAACACACACUAUUUGUGAAACACAAAGCAAAGGUACAAACGAUUCUCAUAGUUCGUAUGCCACUGGCUUGUAGUUAUAUAGAUAAUAAGGCUUGCUAACUUGCUUGUGUAUUGACAAUAGGUGGCAACAGUGGCAAAGUGAUAUUAGUCUAGGAUUAAUCAAAUAUUGUCUUCGCAUACGGCAUCAUGCUUCUUAUUUACUUGUCUGCAGUAAAGCCAAAUACUCCCUCCAAGAAGGCGUAUUUUGUUUUGGCUUGGUCUUCAUAGAAUGGAUCACUUACUACUCAAAGAACCAAUAUAUGUGAUUUUUUAAAAAAUAUAAAUCUUGUUGUAUAAUUGUUUUACAGUAAACAUACUUAUAAUUUGACGAAGUGUUGAUCAAAGUAUGCGGUAUUUAAAUUUAUAGAACAAAAUAUGCCUGUAUUUUCAAAUGGAGGGGGUAUCAGUUGGAUUGUGGCUUAUGGUGCUUGGUAUAUCUCAAUCAAUCAUUCUUCCUACAGGAAGAUGUUGCUAUCCAAUACAUGUAUAAUAAAAGAAGUAUUCCUCUACUCGGUACACAAAUAAUGCUUUGCACAUGCUCUAAUCUCACAAGCAUGUUAAUGAUCUGAUGAAGCAGUGCUCUACUUUGUUGGCUCAGCCUGCUCGAGGUGAGGUCCCUGACCUCCUCCCCGGCACACUCACACACUCACAGCUAGAGGUAGAAGAAGGGGAAGCAGUAGUGAACACACACCGGUGGAUGCUGCUUUUCUUUUUUUCUCUUUUUAAUUAUUUUUCUUUUAAAAACUGAGCUGCAGCUGCUUUCCUUAUAUGCCCAUACUAAGUCAAAUAGAAGUACAAGCUGCUACUGUUUUCUCCAACUUGCUGUCGCCGGAUAUUGGCAUGGCAUGAUCAAACAAAAAGGAAUAAGAGCAGGAGAAUUACCAACAUACUUUGCAUGCUGUAAGUCUUGCAGACAUUCAUAGGCUUGAGAGAAUUUUGAGAAACUACUAGAGAUACAGCCUGUUAAAACCUUAACAAAAAUAAUUCACUAGAUUGUGCUGUCUGCAAAAAGAAAACCAGAGAAUAGGUACAUCUGCUGUUUCAACUUUCCACAAGUUGUAGUGGCCGGUUGGAAAAUUCCCAUAAGGAUUGACAUCUUUUUGAAGAAUAUCCCUUACCUCAACCAUAUCUUUGAGCUGAGGCUCUACACACAUGUGAACAUGUCAGGGGAAAGAAGAUAGCAGUGACCACUUAGGUGAACUCUCAAAGCUCAGGAGAUUCAGUUACAAUGUAUAUAAGCACAAUUAUUUGGAUAAGCAUUGAACUUCAGCAAAAAAUUGUAUCUCAGGACUUCUCAGUGAAUACCGAAAACAAAACUAUAAUGCAAAUAUCCAACCCUGAAGGCUGAAGGUACAAAACGAAAAUCAACGAAGGAUCAAGACAUUUCCUGACCUGUGGUUGUAAUGUUUGGAGCCUUUCCCUUUCAAUCCUACAUCGGUCAAUUAUAUUUUCAGCCUCAUAAAUAAUUUCCCGUGACCUCUUCAGCCAAUCCCUAGUAGUUUCAUUUUGCACAA